GACGAACCGAGCGAACGUUGUUCGGAAUCACUGGGCUUAAAGGGCGCGUAGGCGGGUGCUCAAGUCCGGGGUGAAAUCCUCCAGCUCAACUGGAGAACUGCCUCGGAUACUGGGUGCCUCGAGGGUGGCAGGGGUAUGCGGAACUAUCGGUGGAGCGGUGAAAUGCGUUGAUAUCGAUAGGAACUCCGGUGGCGAAGGCGGCAUACUGGUCCACUUCUGACGCUGGAGGCGACGAAAGGCCAGGGGAG
rnacentral:rRNA from 1 species